UUCCAGAUCCACAAGUGACUGGAAGUGAUGUUAGAGAGAAGGGAUAUUUUGCUGCUUGGAAUUCCACUGCCACCCCCAAAGAAGUGCUGUUUUCGUCACUUGUAUGAGCUCCUUUCUCUGGGAAAAUUCACAGCAUUGCUUUCUAGAGACUGACAUGUUCCAAAAACUAGGUUUCAUAUGAAUGAACUUAUUCCUUCCCCUUGAGAUGAGACAUAAAGAAAAAUGUUAGGAAUAAUUCUGCCUCCAUCCUCAAAGGCCUGUGUGAAUUCUCACAAAGAAGAUGACUUCCUGGGAGCUCUUUUGAGCAUGAAUGAUACCAGUAAACCCCUGAAGGAAGACUCUCAGACAGAGCCCUUUUGCCUCCCUCUUGUCUGAGGGCUGCCCUCUGAAG
rnacentral:lncRNA from 1 species